UCUGCAGCCCUUUUUAAAAAUGAACAUUCCUCAGCAACCUAGAAGCGCCAAACAAGACAAACAACCUCGAAAUCCUGGGUUCGCGGUAACAUCUGCACUUCUAAAUGGAUUUAUUGCUCUGUGUGGCCAGCGGGAGGGAUGAUGAAUGAGGACCGCAGCCUCCAACUUUGCACCUCUUUAAAAGCAAUUCCAGAACCUGCACAAAAAUGACUGCAGUCCUCUUGACCUCUGGGUUACAAUGCAGAUAUCUUAAGAUCUGGCAGCACUACCUUAUUCUUCAGGGAUUUCUACCAUGAGGAAGUUUUCUCAGAACAGGCAAAAUGGCUCCUAUCAGCUGGCAGAAGGUAACCCAGUUUUAUUGCUGCCGCAGGUCAUAGUACAUACCCAGGAACUCUGCUACAAGACAAUGCGCCUGCCAAAGGGAAGCCUCCAACUCCCCAAGAACUGAGAGUAAACCUCUAACUUUAGAAUAAUCUUAGAGCUACACAUGCCAACACUGGAACCAAGUGACCCUGAGUCAUUCAUUUUCAUUGCAACAUACUCUUCCAGUAUACAAAUAUAUUACCACACCUAGUGGUAAUAUAUUUGUAUACUGGAAUUUGUUAUUACCAUCAAAGCUACCAUUGACAUUUUUGUAUCUUUCUAUAUGCACAUCUCCAAAUAUUUCUUUAGGUUUUAUACCUAAGUAUAAUAUCAUCUUCAACUUCAGGAGACAAUACCACCUUAUACGUCAUGUUAUUUUUCCCAUCUUAUAUACCAAAAGGGGAAAUGGUAGAAAGUGGAGGGGCUGAAACCACUGGCAGCCCAGUUUUCAAUGCACUGGAGCAUAUGAGGAAUAACAGCCAGUGUGUCUGCUUCAUCUAUUGGGGGGUUCUCCAAAAAUAUAAUCCCCAUGCUCUGCCUCCACCCCAAGAGCUUUUACUUUAAUUGAUCCAUAGUAAAGUUUAGCCAUCGGUAUUUUUUAAAGGCUCCCCAGCCGAUUCUAACAUCAGAUGAGUUCAAGAACCAUUGGUAGCCAAUGCCAAAUUUCAAGAAUACUACUUAAAUUCUCACUAGUUAUUUCUGGGUAUGGUCGGCAAAACAUUUGGCCCAAGAAUCAACCACCCAGGAAAUCUGCAUUUUUUUUUUUUUAAUAAUGGCACAUAGUGCUUUUUGUAUACAUAAAGUUUCCAAUGCUGGAAAUUGGGGUGGCCAAGACUCCUGGUUUGCUGAGGCUUAGAGGGGACUCUGGGGUGUGGGAUUUCAGUGCCCAAACUAGGAAAUUCCCAGGAAAACUAAGUGGAACUGGUUACCCUGCUGACUACUCAGAUGAGGCCAUGGUAUUCAUAAACAAACCCUAAGAAGCAAGCUCCUUGGCGGGGAGUGGAGCACAUGGGGAAUAACAGCCAGUAUGUCCGCUUCAUCUACUGGUGCUACACCCUUCUCACUUGAGUUCUCUGAAGCUUAGAUUUGUCCCCUGAGGGGCAGGGAGUUCUUUGUCAUCACCAGCAAGUCACUGAGCUCCUGGGGCCUAUGAAAGGGCCGUCAUAUUCACCCUUGAAGAGCCACUGGGAGAUGUCCAAGAUGGGCUGGAGAGGGAAGGAAUAGGGAGAUAUUGUGGAAUGUGAUCUCCUUGAAUGUCUAGUUCACAGACAGGAAGCGCCUGCUUCCUCAGCUCUCCUCCCAGGCGGGCCAUGUUUGGGAUGUGCUUUAUUGGUGGUGAAGCCAUUUCCCGCAGCAAUUCAGGACAUUUCAGAAGCAGACAAGCUUGCCAAAUCCUGAGACCAGUUAGUGCCACAGUCAUUGAAACUGCCACUCUGACACCUGUGCCCAGGUAUUAACAGGAAUACCUCCGAACACCCUGUAGAGUUGUUUUGAAGGUCGGCAAAUAGCAUUCCUCAUAGAAUCACUAAGAUCUUGGCCAGAGGACCCAGGAGUCACUGGCUGACUUAGCAUUUUACAGGGCAGGAAACUGAGGCCCGGGGCAGAGAGAGAACUUGCCCACAACAGAGCUGCUUCCAAGGCUGUGUCCUUCCCUCUUCUAAAGGAGGCCCCAGUGGUGUCAGGUGGCUUUCGUGUCCUGUGGUCUCUGGUCCACUCACUUAGAGCCAGUAGAAGUCAAGCCAUCAUCAUCUUUUUUAAAACUCAAGAAUAUGAUAAAAUAGUCAUUCGUAGUCUGUGUUCACAGAGCUUGGUGCAGACAGGAGAUCAGGACAAGUGCUAGACACCUUCACUGACUGAUGGCGCUCAGUGCAGGGUAUGGAAGGCACCACCAGGGACAAGUGCAACCUGAGACCGUUGGAGUGGGAAGUAGCACCCACAAGAGAUGCUCACACAGAGCCUGGCACAGAGGAAGGGAAUGGUCUUAGAAUAAAAAGGGAGAAGUUCUUUUAGAAUUGUGAAUAAGUGAUUGACAAAGUUAAAAUGCUUAUCUUUUAGCUUAUGACCUUCACCUUCCUUUAUCACAACCAGUGAACCACCUACCAUUUUGGAAGUGCCCUGCAUGUGGUAAGGACAGAGCGAGGGACUCUUAUUACCCCCAUGUUACAGGUCAGGAAACGGCGAGAGAGAGAGAAUGAGCUUUUCCAAGGUGACAUGACUGGCUAAUUUUCAAUCCUGGCUCUUCUGAUUCCCAAGGGUGAUCUUCACCACCGGCCAGUUGGCUUUCUUUGAAGGACACUGGCUGCCUUGGCUGACCUUAGGCCUGUUCUGCUUUUACACUGGCAAAACAUUUAUGGUAACCCUGAGGCGACAGCUCUCUCUCCCACCACUGCCAGAAAGCCUAGCCCAGUAUCUGCUAAGAAUGAUGUGCAUCAUUGUGUGCAAAAAUCAAAGGUCUCUCUAUAUUUUCAAGCAUGACUUAUAUUGUUGUCCAUGAAACAGCCACCACUUGGAUGUAUUUUCCUGAAGGCUUUCUCUCCAUUCCUUGUCAGCGAUUUGAAGCUGUUUCUCUCCACUUCCUCACCCCACAGAAAGAAAUGAUUUGUAUUCAAUAACUGAGUUGAAAAUAUCACAGAAGUUAUAUUGGAGAUUGCUAAGGUCCUAUUAACAGAACACCGGAGACUGAGUAAUUUAUAAAGGAAAAAGGUUUUUUUUGAGCUCACAGUCCUGAAGGCUGGAAGUCCAAGAGCAUGGCACUAGUGUCUGCUCAGCAAGGGUGGCAGAGAGAACAUGAGGGGUGCACUUGCUUGAUAACAACCAGCUCUUGUGGGGACAAAUCCAGGCCUCAGAGAACUCAAGCGAGAAGGGUGUACCUCCAUCUCUCCCUAGCUCCUCUCCAUGGCCCCAGCACCUCCCAACACUGCCUCACUGAGGAAUUAAGUGUUCCAGCCCAUGAACUUCUAGGGGACAAACACCAACUGCAGCAGGCCCUGCUUUAGCUGCACCAAGGAAGGAACAGGCUAUACCCUGGAUCUUCCAUACCCACAUCUCUGCCCUCUCCCCCCAGCAAGGUGCCAAGGCAAGGAGCCCCUGUGCCCCUGGUCUGUGCACAAGGUCUCACUUCUCCUGGGGUAGUUUCCUACUGUUCAACUUGCUGCCUUUCCUACAUUUUGAGGGGAGAAUUCAUGUUUUAUUCAUUUUGGUCUUCCUAGCACCUGAGAGCACCUGGUACAUGGUAGGUGCUCAAUAAGUACUCAAUGAAUGAACCAAGGGACACAUGAACUGAGGAGCCGCUGGCCUGCUUGGGGAUGGUGUCUUCUCUAGCACGGUGGUGCUCUCUUAGGGAUUUAGCCAGACUGAGUCAGGCAGCACUGAGCUAAUGUUUUCAAUAAUGAAAUGACUUCCAGCAUUUCCAUUUAAAAAAAAAAAGGUUUCAUAAAAUUCAUUUUUAACCCUUUGGCAGAAUCAUUUCAGUAACAAUGAUAACUCGUUUCAUUUUAAGGGAUAACUAUCUCGGCUCCAGAAGCUCAGAAACAAAUUAGAAUAAGAGCAAGAGGAAAGCCACUCAGAUGAUCAAAGGAAUGGAGCUGUACCCGGGAGGAUGGCUUAGUGGCGGAGUGACUGGGAAGGGACACAGAAAUCUAAAGAGGCUGGGAAAAGGCAGUCGAAGGUUUUCCUGGCCCUUUGAAUGCUUUGCACAGGGUCAUUUAAAAAGAAAAAUCUCAAAACAUGAGAGAACACUUUAAGACUUCCACAUCAGCACUUCAGAUUAUUUUGUUUGCUUUCCAUUUUAAAAAUUAAUCCAUAUACUUGUUGCUUAGAUAUUUUGUUAAUUAUCAUUUCUUUGCUUGAGUUCUGUGCAAUAUUCAUACAGGACAGUGACAAAACUCAUGAGUGAAUACUUCAUUUAGAAGCAUUAACAUUAAUGCUCAGUAAAUUCUCUGGGGGCGGGGGUGGGUGGGGAGCAGGGAUCUAGGGCAAGAAGGGCUCAGGGUCACCGCAGUGCACCCACUGGCUGGCGGGGGCUUCCCAGGGAGGCAUGGACACAGAUCCUGGCUCAGAUUAGCCACAGCUAAGUCAGCAUCCCUGUCCUUUUAAAAAGGGACACUAGUGAUCCUCUUUCAGAGAGGGCCAAGUCAGGUCAAAAAUUUCUAGAAAGAUCCAGGCAGAGAACAAAAGAGCCCCCACAAAACCUGACCCUGUAGUUCAUGAGGAAAUCCUUUGAACUCAUUAACAAGACGUUACAACUGGAGACAAGGGCCACAGAACAUUGAGAAAUUUCGGUUCUGUGUCUCACAGCGAGAGCAAGUUUGUAUUCUAAAAAAUUAUGAGACGCACAGUAUCAAACACUCUUAACCAUUGUCUCCAUGACUGUAUAUUCUUUGACCCAAGAAGUAAAAUAAAUAAAAACAAUGACUUAACAUGUAGUGCUUACUAUGUGUUAGGCACUGUUCUAAAUACCUUACUAUACCAUCUCACUUAACAGUCGCACACAGUCACAAGCAUUGUCAAUAUCAUACAGUUGGAAAAUGUGAGGCACAGAGUGGUUAAAUAAAUUGUCAAGGUGCACAGCUGGUCAGUCAAAAUGUGUUCUUCCGCCACUUUUGGAAAGAAGCAAAAAAGUACUCUGCUUUUUCAAACUUUCAACCUCCCAGGGCGGAAAGGUCUCUUGAAUAGUAAAAUUAAUUUCUCCAGAAAAAAAUUAAAAAUUGUUGGGAGAGUUUACGAACACAAAACAAUUUAAACAUUUUUUUUUCCUUCCAUAUCUUGUUUGAUUUUUGUCCUCCCACCAAACCAGCCCAGUGCCUCAGAUUUCGGGGCACAGCCCUUGCUUUCCUUUAAUGUCCAAAGGGACACACAGAUCAGAAUUUGCUACCUUCACUUCUGUUUAAGGGGAAGUUUUAUCCUAUCAAAAUAGGGGCUUUAUGUUUCUAUUCAACCUGGUGACUUAGGUGAUGAGAUUCUACAAACAGAAAAUCAGACAAACGAAGAUGGUCUCUGACCUUGACGUGGAAAAAGAAUUGAAAAUUUUUAUUUGUUUGAUAAUAUCUAUUGUCAUAAUACCCUAAUUUCAGAAACAGUACAAUGCUGUUUUUCUUUAAGUGUUAAAAAAAAUCCAUACCAGCUAGCAAAAAAAAAUGGCAAAAUCAAGAUGCAUGCCCCACCAAACAGGUGGCAAGUCAGGGGGCCCCUGGUAUGAAAUGCCAGCCUUGUUCUGUUGUCUGGAUGGCUCUGGAAGGUCAUGUUCAUUGUCACUGAAAAUGCCUGCAGGCAGCGAUAUGAAAAGUCAUUGUCUACUCUUUUUUUUCCCCUGCUACUAUUUUUAGCUCUUGUUAGGGAGAUCAAUUUUAGUUAACUACAGAGGAAGGUUUAAAAUGGCGCUCGAGUUUCAAGUUGCCUACGUCUGCUAUAUUUAGAUUUUUUUCCCCCUAAAUUCUGCUCUAUUGAGACAUGCCAUAGUAAAGCAAUUUUGGUGUUUCUGCUUGGUACACAUUGUUUCCCGAAAUGGAAAAUAUACUUCCUUAAUUAACGUAACUUACAAGGAAGAAACCUUUGCUAUUCUAGGCUCUGACUCAGAUGUAGAGAAAACUCAGUUUUUAAAAUAUAGAUGAGCACCUAUAUUUGGGGCACGUGUAGGAUGAAAUAUUAUAUAAGGACUCCGUGCGUUCAACAAUUUUGCUAUAUUCUGAUCACCAGACAUGAAAGGCACAGAAAGAGUUAGCACCCACCUUGGCAAUUAGUACCCCCUCCCCACAUCAUUCUCCACACAAGGACUCAGGCUUGUGAUCCUGGAACACAUUUCCAAGUUUCCAUUUCCUUUCCAAGAAUUUUCUCUGGGAGAAUUUUUUUUUAAUAGAAAAUUUUAAAGGGGCUUUUCUUCUGCUCACAUAAUUCUAUAAUUUUUUAUCUUUAAUCACUACCAACUAGCAACAUGAAGCUCUGCCUUUACUUAUUUCACAGGGGAAAAUGUACAGAUGGUAGAUAAUCUGAAAAGAUACAUAGGCCAAAAAGAUGAAUAAUAAAUUUUACCACCCCCAAAUAAGUACUUUAAAAUAGGAUUCUUUGGGUUUUUCUCCUUCACUCUAGGUGUAUGUGUGUUCUUAGAGCUACUGCCUUAGCCACACCUCUGAUCCUAAGAAGGAAAAAUAAAGCCACUCAUGGCGGUGCACGCCUAUAAUCCCAGUGGCUUGGGAGGCUGAGGCAGGAGGAUCAGGAGUUCAAAGCCAGCUUGAACAACUCAGUGAGGCCCUAAGCAAUUCAGCAAGACCCCAUCUCUAAAUAAAAUACUAAAAAGGGCUGGGGAUGUGACUCAGUGGUUAAGUGUCCCCGAGUUCAAUCCCUAGUACCAAGACAAAAAAUAGGGUCCAUCUCUAGAGGGGAAAACUUCCAGUCUCCAGGGAGUGCCCAAGCAGCUCCUGUGGUCUCUGCUCUGCUGCUCUCUUCUUGCCUGGGUGGAAAAGCCCCUUCCUCCAAGAUUCAGAGAGGUUCUUUGCUCAGCUCUCUCUCUCUGGCCCAUUACCUUCCUUGAAAGUUUCUAGUUUUCAUCUCAGUUACUAAUUCAGAUCCUCAAUCACAGCGCCCCAUGAAGAACUUUGGGUUCUACAUGUCUCAGGAGGGAAUAAAGAUAAGUGGUCACCCUAAACCUGUAUGAAGAAGAAAUCUCCAGAAGCAAAUUUCCUUUUAUGAAAUAGACCCCCUCCCCGACUUAUGACAGAAGUAAAGUGUUCACUCUCUCCCUCCAUCUUUUAACAUCUAGCUAAAUCCUUCUCAUCUCCUACUUUGAUACAGGUCAGGACUGGUGAGGAGCAAGGAAGGAGAAUCCCCAUCAUACAUGUUGAUAAUAUUUUUUUUCCUGCAGUGAACCCAUAUGAUCCUUACUGAGGGGGGAAGCCAUGCCAUGCCGUAUCAUGGCCACCUCACACCUGACCCCAGGAGGCAACACAUUAGCUACACUGUGGCAUCUAGGAGACCCAAUUGGAGCCUGCUGCCCAUCUCCAAGGCUUACCACAAUGAAACAGGAAAUAUGCACUCACAGAAAUACAAAGAAUCAGAGAGCCCAAGUUUACAGAAGACCAAACUCUGGAAUAUUUGUUUUAAUCCUGAAUCCUUUUCACUCCAAGAAAAGAAAUGCUUUCUCCAUAAUAAUCUUGUAAAUAGACAGCUAACAAAUACCUGUGAUUUUUAGUUUCCAAUAAGCCCCUUUGCUCUUGAACAUCACCUCUUCUAUUUCAUAGCUAUGGAUGAUGACCCAGCAUGAAGAGAGGAUUUUUCUCUUUAGGAUGAUGAUUAAAACUCAGGAUGUGUAUUUGAUUCUAGGCUCCAUCUUUUAUGGGUUGUGUGAACUUCAAGUUUUUUAGCCUCUCUGUCCUCAGUUUUCCAAACAGAAAAUCAGGGUGUGUAUCAAAAGAGACAAGCCAUAUAAAUAUGUAUGUCCAGCCCUGAGUAUAGUAAAUGUUCAAUCUGUGUCACCAUUUAUUAUCAGUUGAUUGUCAAACCACAUCUUAGGCUCUGAGCUCAGUGUAUGGCAAUAUGAAUGCCGUGAUGUUUGGAGCUGAUUGUCCUAUGCAAGGCAGUACAUUUAGCAUUCUGGGUCUCACCUGCUAAGUGCCAGUUUUCACCCUGACCCAGUCAUUAAAUCAUGGUGAUGGCAACAAUAUCCACUGAUAGACCAGCACUUGUUUAAAAAGGACGCUAUAAUCACACCAGUUGAAAAGUGACUAAGAGGUGUUGAGACAAGAGGCAAGGAGAGUCCAGUAAAGUGGAGGCACCAGUAUGUGCACAGAAAGAGGGGAGAGGGCAGGAUAAACAGGAGUAGCACCUGCUCACAACUUUGUACUUGAUCCCCAUAUGUGCGUGCACAUGCAUCUACACACACACACAUUUUUCCUUCCCCUAGGAAAACUAGAAGAAAGCAAGAUUGCCAAGAGGUGGCUUUAAAAUACCAUUAAAAUAUUUGGUCUUUGUCCUUCAUUCCUAACACAAAGCUCCUAAAAUUCAUGAUUUCCUGAGAGAUAGGAGUAUCUUUUAUUCUAAUAAUGUGACUCUUGGCAGGAUGGGGGCUGGUCACUAGAAAGACAGCCCCUUGAAUCCAAACCUAGUACUUUCAGCCCCAUUUCCCUACCCCUGGGGAAUAGAGGACAGGAGAAAAGCUAGAGGUCAAGUUAAUCAAUAGCUGAUGAUACCUGAAUGUGGUGUUCUGAGAGCUUCUGGGUUCAUGAAUGCAUCCGCAUGCCAAGAAGGAGGCACACCCAGCUCCCCAGGAUAGAAGUGCUCCUUCCAGACUACCCUAUGUACCUCUUCAUCUGGCUCUUCACUUUUGUAUCCUUUAUAAAACCCUUUAUAAUAAACUGGUAAUCAUUUUUAAAAAUACACCUUUAAAUAGCAUAUCUGGGGGUUGCAGGGGUGCGGCUUGGAAAACAUCCUAUUUUUUUUGGUUUAACUCUGUCCUUCUGUUGAAGAACACAUUGCCCAGCAGGAGUGAGUGAGGUUGGAAGUGACGGUUCAAAUGCUGGUGGGUGCCCCAGAUAGAGAGAGGCAGGGUGCACCCCCCAAGUCUUGUCUCACUUCCUGGGGGGGAUCCCUACCCAGCACCUGACAGUACGGGACCCCUCCACCUGCCCAGUUGACAGGGAGCAGCAAACCAGGACUUGCAGCCUCGUGGGGCUUCCUUUCCUGCUGAAUUCAAGUCAUAAGCUUAACUCUUGAAAGAAAACCUACAUAUGAACACCUUUCAAGCACAUCUAAACCAUCCUGCACUCCUCACGGAACUCAGCUUUCACCAACAUUGGGCAUGCGCAGAAAAGCCAGCAUGCACAAGUCCACUGUCACCAUUCCACCCGCAGGGGCUCCCUAGUCCCUCUUGCAGAGUAGGCAGGUCCUGUGCCCUUUAAGCCAAGCCACUCUGUUUUCCUGUAGUGAUGUUAAUAUUGGAAUUUGUAUUCUCAACCAACUAUAAAGGACUUAAUCCAAAUUGAAGCUUAGCACACAACCCUGACAGGGUUCUGUAUUGGAGUUCUAUUGGAUAUGUCCUUAGGACUUGCUUUGAUAAGCCACUAUCUUGUUUUAAAAUUCAGGGUAGACUGAUUAUUGACACUGAUGUUUGAACCCUAUUUGGUUCAGAAGACAGAUGAGUUGUUGCUGCUGCUAUUAACUUGUCAUCCAAAACCAAGCCGGCAAUUAAGGUUAAGAAAUGGACAUCCUGCACCACACAGGUGCACUCCCACCAGCAUGGAGCUAGAAAGCAUCAGGCUGCCCAGCACUGGGCAGGGACUCUCCUGCCAGGCUCAGCACAGAGCACAGAGCAGAGCACAGGCUUCUCAGAGGAAAAGAGCGCUCAAAGUGAAAGGUGGGAGAGAGUGAGUCGAGCAUUUCCAGUUCUUUUCCCCAAAAUCACCUUAGUAUUGCUCCUCUUCCACUGGGGAGGAAUAGAAGAGGGGCCAUAGAGAUACAGAGUAAGAGGUCUAAGAUGUCCUCCACAUGAAAGAGCCACUGGACCUAGUCAAGUAUCCACUAGGACACAGGGCCCCAGCAGGGGAAAAGGGAAGACACUACAGGCGAUAACUUCAACUAUAGUAGCUCCCCUAGCUCUUGAACAGAAUUUGUGUGACCCAGGCUCACUUUUACAUAACAAACUACCCCCAAAAUUUUAAGGCCUAAAAGAGCAACCAUCAUUUAUUAUGCCCACAAAUCUACUUGGUCAAGGCUCAGUAAUGACUCAUCUCUGUGCCUCGCAGUGCUGUUGGGACAGCAUACCUGGAGACUAGCAAAUCAGCUUGAGGAGUGUUCAUUCUGAUGGCUGGCUGUGGCUUGGGCCCCGCUUCCUCUCCACAGGCUGAUUUGGCUUCCUUACAACAUGGAGGUGGGGUUUCAAGAGUGGGCAUCCUGAAAGAGUAUGGCAGAAGUGUCUGGCAUUUUUAUAACCCAGAAGUCAUAUUGGUUCCUUCUGCCAUAUUCUAUCAAGGCCGUCAUAAAAGCCUGCCCAAGUUUUCAAAGAGGGAAUGGAGAGAGCACUCCUGGAUGGAGAAGGGACAAGGUCCUAGGAGAGUAUAUAGGAGGGGAGAUAUUAUAUCAUCUUUGGAAAGCAUGAUAUGCUACAACAUGUAACCUUCCUAUUGAGAAUUCAACUUCCUUAUGUGAGAUGAUGAGAUUAAACAGGAGGGAAACGGGAUAUUUUCCCAAGUCCACAGUUUCCAUAGGAGAUUAUAGAAGAUAGGGUCUUGCUACGUUGCUUAGGGCCUCACUAAUGUGCUGAGGCUGGUCUCAAACUUGCAAUCCUUCUGCCUCAGCCUCCAAGUCACUGUGAUUAUAGGCAUGCACUACUGCACCCAGCUAUAAUUUAUAGGAGAUUCAUUGUCAAAGAGACCUUGCCAGAAUAACUAGCAAAGUUCAAAACAAAAUGAGACAAAGUUCAGGAGAAAUAAAUAGUCUAUCUUUAGCUAGAGAACAAUAUACACUGAAAAUAUGUUGCCAUGAAAAUGUGCUAGAAGUAAAAGUUAAAACGAGGCUCCUUUCUGGUAGAGUUUCCUGCAGAAUAUGAAACAGAAUAAUGAGAGGCAGAACCAGAGGGGAUGGUUAAUGUGGCUGGCGAAAUCAAGUCAGUCUGAAUUCUGGCUCUGCAGGGAGCUCAGUUUCCUUAGCAUAAUGGACAUGCUGAAACCCACACCACAGAGCUAAUGUCAUCAUUAGACACCUGUUUAGGGGAAGCACUUAGAGACUUAGACCUGUGCCUGGCAUUUAGGAAGUAUUCCCUAAACAGCUGUGUUCAAGGAACAUGCGAAGUUUCUGCAACACCUACUAUGGCCCAGCACCAACAGUCCUAAUAAAUAGGGUAGAUACCUGCAUUAGUUUUCAGCUUAGUUGAAAUGCUAAAAAUUUACACAAGAUAAGCCACAGGAGGAAAAUUCAUGCAUGAGUACAUACUGGACAUUAUACAAUAACUGUGUCCGAUGUCCUUCAUAAAUCUAUCAUUUAUUGAUCAUUAGUGUGUACCCUGAGCUGCAGCAAUUCCAAAAGCAGCUUUGGUGAUUUGGAAUAUAAAACAUCACUAGAUGAAAUAACUAAUAAAUAAUACAAAAAGGAAUAUCAUUAAGCAUUAUAAUUAAGUGGCUCGGACCAACUUGGGGAAAGAAAAUCAGAAGUUUUCUUAGAACAGGAACUUAUGGCUUUCCAUUUCAUGGAACAGAGGUAUGUAAACGGGUAGGAAAAGAGGAAAAUGGAGAGAAAUUUCUCAAGGACAAGUCAGAGAAGGGGACACAGGAACUGGGGGGAAAGGAGAGAUCCAUUUGGGGAAUUAGAUUACAGGGUACCUGGCUAUUCACUUGAACCUUGGGAUUCAACAUAUCAUUCACCUCUUCCUGUACUUCACAGCAGAUUCCUUGUGUGAUUGGUUCAUCAUAUUGGAAACGAAAUUCUUUGCGGGGGCGGGGGGCGGGGGGCAGCACUGAUCAAACUAAUAUCACCCUGAAUAAUUACACUGUGCAUCAUGGGAGGACUUGGUAAACUAGUUGAUCCAUAUUUCUUUAUUUCCUAGUCUCCCGGUGAUGUGAGCAUUGUCAUUGCUUUGAUGAGGGAAACUGAGAAAGCUAUAUGUUUUUUUGCACCUCAGAGUCCCACUACCGGUAUGUGGAAGGUAGUGUCUCCAAAUUUAGUUUUAGGAUGUUGAUUCCAUGGGGAGGAAAGCAACAGGGAGCCCCCUGGUGAGUGGCAGGAGGCAAGUCCUGGGCAGGGUCAUCACAAGGUGGGUAACUGGGGGAGUGCAUGCAGAAUGCUUCAAAGCAGCACUCAGAGACUUAGUGAGGAAGUGGAUGAGGAGAAAGAAAAUUCAAUAACUGACUCCAAGGAUCUGCACCUAAAAGGCUGGAAAAAAGACAGCCUCCAUGAGAAAUGUGAGAGCCUGGAAGGAAAUGUGUGUCCAUGAGGCAAAUGAACAAUUCUACUUUAGAUAUGUGAAUUAGGAAAGGAAAAGGGAACUUACAUGGAGAUGUCAGGACAUUGGGGUGCAGAUAGGAAGGCAGCCUGGAAUAAGCUCCUCCUAGAGGGAGGACUGAGGAAGAGUCUUCCCAGACCAGCAGCAAAUGCUAAGGGAUAAAGCUCGUUGCACCUGUUGGACUUUGCUGUGUUUUGGAAGCCUCGAGCGCAGGGGUCCUACCUAUUUCCUAGUGGACCACAUGAUCUUCUUUCCAUCACAAAAGUUUCCUAAGAAUCUGAACAAUCGGUCUCAACCCUGCUUUAGUACACACACACAGGGCUCUGUAUCACCCCCCUACUCUAACACACCUGAAUUAUAUUGAUUUGCACAAACUGCAUCAGCACACUGAUGAUGUUAGCAUCCAAGAAGGAGCCCACCCAUGGCCCAUGAGCCAAAGGUCACAGUGUGAUGGAGGCUUCCUGUGGCACUUGGACUGGCGGCCUCAUCACACUUCCCUGUGACAGAACUACAGAGACUUCACCUCCUCCUCCUGAGAACAGGAAGCAGCCUGUGGGCACCCACGUUUCCUCCUCCAGAUGUGUAGGAAUUGGAAUGUUGUCACCAACCUGCCCCACCCACUCAAAAAAAAAAAAAAAAAGGAAACAGAAUUUGGGCAUGUGUUUUGAACCAGGGCCAAGCCUCAGGAAGUUCCAAAUACCUCCAUGAGAGUUUAACUUUUGGCCAGGUGCUAAAGGAUUUUGUUUGGGUAUUUAUUUCAUGGGGGUAGAUAAAAAAUGCAUUGAUCAGGGUUUUCUUUUUUUGACAGGUUCUGGCAUCCUUUCUCUGCACAGGGUAAAGGAUAGUUUGAAUACAGACAGAGGAGUGAGCACAGGACAGAUGAAUCCUCUCAUCCUUUAAAAAGAAAUGCUGAUCCAGGGCCCCAUUCUCCCUGCACUGGGAUAGGACCUGUCCCCAGCCUGGGUGGAUAAGGACUCCUUGUCCCCAGCUAAGCUUAGUUGGUCCCUUUGCAUGGUGACAGCGUUGACGUCAGUCCUCACGGUAGAGGAAUUAGUUGAAGCCCAAAGGGAAAAAAAAAAAAGGCCAAAAAAAGAAAAAUUCAAUCCAGCAAGGCUAAAGCCAUUUCUUUUUAGUUUGCAGGCUCUCAGCAGCUGUUAAGCUUUGCUGGAUUUUGAUAGUAAGAAAUUUUCUAAAAAUAGAAUAAUGAAAUGGACAGGGUGUCUGGUCAGUCCUCUGGCCUGGGCCCUGCCAUCACCACCACCUCAACCCCAGGGCCAGAAACUUCCACACUCAAUCUGCCACGGCAGAGUCCUUUCUGUGGCCUCCCCCUCCGAGGAUGGCAGAAUGCCAUCCCCCUGCACCUCUGCAAGCCCUGAGCAUGACUCCCACAGCUGCCGUUUCCUCUAAGGGGCUUCUUCAAAUGAGAGAAGGAAACCCUACCUGCUAAAACAAGAAUUAUCAUCUUAUUCCAGGACUUAGAAAUCACAUCUUCCUCUUUUAUCUGCGAGUGUCUUUCAUUCAGAAUUGCAAAGAGUGUGUGAAAAAAAAAAAAAGAAAGAAAGGAAAUUUUUUUUUUAGGUAGUCUGGAUGUUGUUGGACUUUGAGCAACUUGAGAAUGCCAAAGAUGAGCAAGUGCUGGUGGCCAGGAGGCCUGGGGAACUGACCUGGAGUCCCUAGCCUCUUUUCCUUUGUGUGCCCUUCUUUCCCCUAUCCAUUCUCUGAACUAUUACCAUUUUCCAAUUGAAAACAAAUGAUGCAGAGUGGAGGAAGUAAGGGGGCACAUUAGUGUGUGCCAGUACCCUCAUGGGACCACAGUCCCUUGCUAUCCCACAAAGCCAUGAAACUCUGGUCACUCAGACACCGAAACAACCAGAAGCAGCAGGGAGUGCUAAAUACAAAUGAAGAUUCCACUAAAUCAGAAUUUGCAAGAUUGCAUCCCAUCCUGGCAAUCUGUUUUUAACAAGCACCUUGAGUAAAUUAUCAGAUGGUUGAGAACCACUGCUUCAAGAUGUCACCAACCAGGUCUGCCCACCCUCAGCCCAGAGCCUCUCCCACCACACCUGUCACGUAAAGCUAGUUUCAUGCAGGUUCCUCUCUGUAGCAAUACCUAAUGUUUCUUUUAUCCUGGAACUUUGAUAAUGGAGUUCUUUUAAGAUGGGACAAAAUACUCUAGGGAGGAGGGGACCCACACUAUUAAAUGAACUUUCCAUGGCAUCCAGCGGUGUUCCAUGCCUACACGUCUGCACAGUACAGUAACUGCCAAGUGGACUGCAGCCUGAUUAGGUUAGCGCUCACUCUCCAUUCCUGCUUUCCAAGUAGCCCGAGUGAUUGACAUGCACCUGGUUCUACCACAGGCAUCCUACUUCUGUCACUGUCCUCACCUGCAUCCAAACUAGUCCACCUCAGCUCCUACAUGUCAGAGACUUAGCGCUCAUUGAUGAAAUUUUCCCUGCCUACAGUUUCACCACGUUUAGACUGCAAGCCACAGAUCUUCAUAAGCCAUAGUCCAGUGGCUCUGCCUAAUUCUAUUCUUUUUUGCCACUACCAGUGUCCAGAGAAAUGCUGGAGUUGUGAAACAUUUACUGUCCCUCACCCAGAAAAGCCUUCUCUCAGCACAGCAGGAUGUUGGGGGCGGAGAGUGUCCAAUAAAGACUUCUUUGACUUUGAACAGAAAGAGAACCCUCUUAGCAGGGUAUGGCUGUGUUAGUUUGCUAGGGCUGCCAUAACAAAGUACCACGAACUGAGUGACUUUCACAACAAAAAUUAGUUGACUCAGUUUUGGAGGUUCACAGUUCAAGAUCAAGAUGCACAUGGGGCCAUGCUCUCUCUGAAGGUGCUAUACGAGAUCUGUCCAGCACCCUCUCCCACUCCUGGUGGUUCCUUGGCAAUGACAGCAUAACUCCAUUCUUCAAAUGGCAUUCUCCCAGGGGGUGUGAGUAUCCAACUUCCCCUUCCUAUAAGGUACCAGACUUGUUGUGUCAGGGCCCAUUCUAAUAACCUCUUAUUAAUUUAAUCAACUGCAAAGUCCCUCUCUCCAAAUAAGUUCACAUUCAUAGGACACGGAGGUCAGGACAUCUUUUAGAGGGGCACAAUUCAACCAAUAACAAGGAUGACUCUGGUGUGUCCAUCCCUCCCCGUAUCACUUAGAAGAGCUCUGAUACCUAUUAGUGCUCCUCAUUCUCUGUCAGUACCAGAAUUUUCAAAGGUCCCUGUAGAGUUGGCCGUUUUCACCACUGUUGCUUACCCUAGAUGGGUUGCCCAGAAGCAUGUAGAGAGUGUCCUGCUGCCACAACUGACAAUACUUGUUCAAGCUGUCCAGCAAAAUCACUUUCCACUAAAGACAGGAAAUCAGACAAGACUCCUGGACUGGAUGGUGUCUGGUCUUGAUCUGGGAAGGAGGGCAGGGUAUGGGGAGAUAUCAAAAAGAGGUGAGACUAUGCCAAGUUUAAGUAGCUAGUUUUAGUGGGUAUAAUAAUGUAGCUAUUGUGAUUAGGGGGCCACAGGUAAACUGGUUUGACCAAGCAAAAAGGGAAGAAAUGGGCUAAGAUAUGUGGACAUGCUCUAAUGAGUCUUGGAGAGCCACCAGCCAGGAGAAUACCUGGAGGACAUCAUUUUUAGAUUAUUUUUUUCUAUUGAUUUGUGAGGAUUGGAAGUGAAGGAUAUGGAGGAAAGAUAAAGAUGUCAGUGGUUAAGCUGAGAAGUUUUAAGCAUGAAGACUGAGAAUGGUCCCCUUCUCUUGCCCCUCCACCUGGAGGUCAUCUAUUUGUCAUACCCAAGUCAAUUGUCACCUCUAAUAAGAAGCAUGUCAAAAUUACUUGCUGUUUAAAUUGGGUACCAUAGACCUUACCCUACAUUACCACCCUAACACUCUCCAUCUUACAUUCUGAUUCCUUCUGUUUCCCCUGGAGAGUGCUUUCAUUAUACUUUGUGGUCUUUAUGACCAGCAAUGACAAGACCAUGGGAGAUGCUCAAUAAACACCUACUGAAAUGAAACAGAAAGCCAGUUGCAUCACAGCGAUUCUAAAGUGAGCCAGUCAAAAAUGAGACACUUUUAAACUGGAAAGGGCUUUGAUGGUCACCUAACUCAGUUAUCCAGUAAACACUACAAAUUCUGGACAGAUGAUAAUCUCAUCUUAUUCUUUCUGGGGUCAGCCAUGGCUGUAAGAAUUGAAGAGCUGGAGAGAAACUUAAAAGACUACCCUAUCCAAAAGAUGAAGAAGUAAAGUGAUUAGCUUUUGGUUACUCAGCAAUUAGUAGCAAGACUAGAGAUAGAAAUUAAUAUGAUGGUCUAGGCUCAUCAGCUUCCUGUACUAUGAUAAAGUACCUGAGAUAAUCAACUUCAUAGGAGAAAAGAUUCAUUUCGACUCAUGAUUUCAGUGCAUGGUCAUUUGCCCCUGUUGCUCAGGGCUCGUGACACCCAGUAUAUUAUGGUGGGAGCAUGUGGUGGAAACCUAAUCACCUCAUGGUGGACUGAAAACAGGAAGGGACUGGGGUCCCCUUCAAGAGCCCAACCCUAAUGACCUAAUUUCUUCCCCCUAAGACCCACCUCUUAAAGGUUUUACCAACUCCCAAUAUCACUUAGGAAGGGGGCCAUCCCUUCCACACUUGGGCUUUCGGGAAACAUUUAGGAUCCGAAUGAUGACAUGCCCAGACUCAUUUGGUCCUCAAGAGGUUAAAUGGCUUGUUCAGGGUUGUACAGGGGAUAGGUGGUAGAGCUGGGGUACAAUUCAGAUUGAUCGUAUUCCGUUUCCUAUACACCACGCUAUCCCCACGUAUGACCCCCGACUUUCAGAAACACUGCAACGUGCCCUUCUUACUUCCUGGGCAAACCUUGCCAGAGGAUCUGCUGUGAAACCCUCCCUCCUUCUCACCCAUGUCCCUUGCUUUCCAG